rnacentral:rRNA from 1 species
UACGAAGGGGGCGAGCGUUGUUCGGAAUUACUGGGCGUAAAGCGUGCGCAGGCGGUUUUGUAAGUCUGACGUGAAAUCCCCGGGCUCAACCUGGGAAUUGCGUUGGAGACUGCAAGGCUGGAGUCUGGCAGAGGGGGGUAGAAUUCCACGUGUAGCAGUGAAAUGCGUAGAGAUGUGGAGGAACACCGAUGGCGAAGGCAGCCCCCUGGGUCAAGACUGACGCUCAUGCACGAAAGCGUGGGGAGCAAACAGG